rnacentral:rRNA from 1 species
ACGAACGCUGGCGGCGUGCUUAACACAUGCAAGUCGAACGGAAAGGCCCUGCUUUUGUGGGGUGCUAGAGUGGCGAACGGGUGAGUAACAAGUGAGUAACCUGCCCUUGACUUUGGGAUAACUUCAGGAAACUGGGGCUAAUACCGGAUAGGAGCUCCUGCUGCAUGGUGGGGGUUGGAAAGUUUCGGCGGUUGGGGAUGGACUCGCGGCUUAUCAGCUUGUUGGUGGGGUAGUGGCUUACCAAGGCUUUGACGGGUAGCCGGCCUGAGAGGGUGACCGGCCACAUUGGGACUGAGAUACGGCCCAGACUCCUACGUGAGGCAGCAGGGGGGAAUAUUGCACAAUGGGCGGAAGCCUGAUGCAGCGACGCCGCGUGCGGGAUGACGGCCUUCGGGUUGUAAACCGCUUUCGCCUGUGACGAAGCGUGAGUGACGGUAAUGGGUAAAGAAGCACCGGCUAACUACGUG